UGACAGUUACAUUGUACAAGAAGGUGAAGAAAAUCCCAAAAGUGGCGAAACACAAACGAGACUUGGUCCCAUGCAAAUUGCUUACCAUUAGACAAGAAACAAAAUCAAGAAACAAAGACAAGCAGAUUAAAUAAAAAUACAAGAAAAUUAAAAAGGCAGAGAAUCAAAGGCAGAGAGAAUGAAAAAUUGAGGAUAUUGUUUUACUGAGUCGUG